GCUCCCCUGAGCGCGUGGUCCUGGUCGCGAGCACAUGGAAGUGAGGUCGAGAUUUGUGUCUGAGAGACGAUCACGAGAAAAAAGGGAAUAUAAACAGCGCAAAGCGGCGGCAGAAGCAGCCCGGAUGGUGGCGUUUCUGCAGGACCCUCAUGCAGGCCGAACCUCACCACAGCUGCUGCACCAAUACGCCACUGAAGAUACUGAUCUGAAUAGGGAGGAUGCAAAGGUGGAAGCAGUCAGUGCUGGAUUCAGUUUCACUGCAUCUUAAUGGAGCACACAUACACACACACGGUUUUUUAAUAGUAUCUACUUCCCCCUUUUUUUUUCUGAGAGGACACAGAUACACCCUGAAUGGGCCCCUGUGGUGCUCUACAUUGUGGUUGGGAAGUACCUAAUGUUACAACUGUCAUGCUGGUCUGCUUAAAGGGACAGUGUUGAUCACUUUUCUCAGUAUUUUCUCAUCGGUCAUGUAGUGUCGCCCUAAAUAAGAGGUUGAGAGAGGAGGUGUCUGUAUUAUACAAACACAUAAAGAGCUAAGGGAGACUUACCGUGCUCAUUUUCAGCUCUUAUUUGUCUCUAGAGUAGCCUUGCAUGAUUCACAGAUUUAAGAAAUCUUUAUGUCGUACUGCUGCGAUAAUUUUGGACAAUACAUUGUUGUAACCAACGGGUUUUUAGUGGUUUGUAGUGUCAACAUUCGAAUAAGAGAACCUAAUUUAACAUCUGUACCUUACAUCUUAACAUGAUAGCAUCGGUUGAGUUUCUGUCUGAAAAACACAAUAUUACCUCUCGUCUCUUUAAGAGCUCCCCAACCCCUCCCUAAAAGCCCCCUUUCUUCUGAUUGGCCCACAUCUGGAAGCCUGCACUCCAGUUCUUGUGAGCACCACCCAUUUGUUUUCAGGUGUGUAGGUUUCAAAAGCAAAUUGUAAAAAUACUAAGUAACAUAUUUCGUUGUUGUCGAUCAGAAAUGUCAGCUUCACAAAGUUCAAGUCUGACUCCAAACUUAGACUAAACGAAACGAACACGUAAUACUGCAGCAGGACGUCUUUGGUAAAUUUACCACGUUACCCACUGAUUGUGCCGUAAUGGUUGGAUUUAGUCUUUCAGUCAUAAGCUGCAUGUAAAAUUUGUUUGAAAUGUGCUGAAAUACCAGCUGAGCAAAUUGUUGCUGAUGACUGUAGAAGAAAAUCUACUCAAGAAAAGUGGAAAAUCUGUUGGAAACCUUGUACUUAGAGCAGUUAUUAUCUAAAACUGUGGUCACAUUUAUACAAGCAUCCAACAUUGUAACAUAUUAAUGACUAAAAUUAAGAGAAAGCACAAGAAUAAUGAAGUCGAGAAAUAAAGUGAGACUCUCACCACUCGAUGAAUCCAUCGUUGCUGGAAGUAAUGAGACUUUUGGGCCUCAAUUCAUUGUGAAGUUGUGAUGUAUUGUCAGUGAAAUCCAACCACACUGAGGUGAAAGGGGAGAGGAAUUUGCUUUGCAAUCAUUUCUAAAAACCACAUAAAUUUUUACUUGCAUAAUCCCCUGUGAGUUUUGUAAGUCUCUUCUGGCACUUGACACUGUUGAAUGUUUGGAAAAAGCUGCACACUUGUCUGAAUAAAUUUCUCCGUCUGGCAGCAUA